CAGGCUUAACACAUGCAAGUCGAGGGGCAUCAGGAAGAAAGCUUGCUUUCUUUGCUGGCGACCGGCGCACGGGUGAGUAACACGUAUCCAACCUGCCCUUUACUCGGGGAUAGCCUUUCGAAAGAAAGAUUAAUACCCGAUAGUAUAAUGAUUCCGCAUGGUUUCAUUAUUAAAGGAUUCCGGUAAAGGAUGGGGAUGCGUUCCAUUAGGUUGUUGGUGAGGUAACGGCUCACCAAGCCUUCGAUGGAUAGGGGUUCUGAGAGGAAGGUCCCCCACAUUGGAACUGAGACACGGUCCAAACUCCUACGGGAGGCAGCAGUGAGGAAUAUUGGUCAAUGGGCGCUAGCCUGAACCAGCCAAGUAGCGUGAAGGAUGAAGGCUCUAUGGGUCGUAAACUUCUUUUAUAUAAGAAUAAAGUGCAGUAUGUAUACUGUUUUGUAUGUAUUAUAUGAAUAAGGAUCGGCUAACUCCGUGCCAGCAGCCGCGGUAAUACGGAGGAUCCGAGCGUUAUCCGGAUUUAUUGGGUUUAAAGGGAGCGUAGGUGGACUGGUAAGUCAGUUGUGAAAGUUUGCGGCUCAACCGUAAAAUUGCAGUUGAUACUGUCAGUCUUGAGUACAGUAGAGGUGGGCGGAAUUCGUGGUGUAGCGGUGAAAUGCUUAGAUAUUCACGAAGAACUCCGAUUGCGAAGGCAGCUCACUGGACUGCAACUGACACUGAUGCUCGAAAGUGUGGGUAUCAAACAGGAUUAGAUACCCUGGUAGUCCACACAGUAAACGAUGAAUACUCGCUGUUUGCGAUAUACAGUAAGCGGCCAAGCGAAAGCAUUAAGUAUUCCACCUGGGGAGUACGCCGGCAACGGUGAAACUCAAAGGAAUUGACGGGGGCCCGCACAAGCGGAGGAACAUGUGGUUUAAUUCGAUGAUACGCGAGGAACCUUACCCGGGCUUAAAUUGCAGUGGAAUGAUGUGGAAACAUGUCAGUGAGCAAUCACCGCUGUGAAGGUGAUGCAUGGUUGUCGUCAGCUUGUGCCGUGAGGUGUCGGCUUAAGUGCCAUAACGAGCGCAACCCUUAUCUUCAGUUACUAACAGGUCAUGCUGAGGACUCUGGAGAGACUGCCGUCGUAAGAUGUGAGGAAGGUGGGGAUGACGUCAAAUCAGCUCGGCCCUUACGUCCGGGGCUACACACGUGUUACAAUGGGGGGUACAGAAGGCAGCUAGCGGGUGACCGUAUGCUAAUCCCAAAAGCCUCUCUCUGUUCGGAUCGAAGUCUGCAACCAGACUUCGUGAAGCUGGAUUGGUUAGUAAUCGCGCAUCAGUCACGGCGCGGUGAAUACGUUCCCGGGCCUUGUACACACCGCCCGUCAAGCCAUGGGAGCCGGGGGUACCUGAAGUACGUAACCACAAGGAUGGUCCUAGGGUAAAACUGGUGACUGGGG
rnacentral:rRNA from 1 species